UUACUUUGUCUAAGUUGUGAGAUAUUAACUAUAUAUUUGUUCAUUAACACACUAGGCAAGUGACCUCCAUUGCACAUUGGAGGGGCGCUAACAUAAGGUCUAUCCAAGUGGUGGAUCCUACAUCAUAAUUUGUUGUUGUGAGGGUAUGCGUUCGCACGACCCUUA